AGUUAUAACCGGCAUUAUAGGAUAACUUGUGUUCUAUUAAAUAAAAAUAAAAAAAAACUUGUGUAGGUACUGUCGUGUGCAUUGAUAUCGUGUGUAAUACAUAAUUGUGUACUGUCGCGUUUAAUAGAUAUAAUACCUAGAUAUAUAUUUGUGUGUAAAUUGUAAUACCGACUUCAGUGCUAAAUAUUAUCAUUAUCCUAUUUUAUUAAUCAGUCGAUGAAUCUCAAAAUUGAUUGGAAUAACUUUUAUAAGUUAAGAGAAUUACCAUGAGAUGCAGGACUGCGAGAUGCGUGCGCGCCGCAGACAAGUGCGCAGACUACGUUCUCGACUCAGCUAUCCUUAUUUAUCUUAAUUAUCAGUGAUCAGCAGAGAAUAUGUAAAUAUGUACAAUUGUGUGUA